rnacentral:rRNA from 1 species
ACGAACGCUGGCGGCGUGCUUAACACAUGCAAGUCGUACGGUAAGGCCCUUUCGGGGGUACACGAGUGGCGAACGGGUGAGUAACACGUGAGUAACCUGCCCACAACUUUGGGAUAACGCUAGGAAACUGGUGCUAAUACUGGAUAUGUGCUCCUGCUGCAUGGUGGGGGUUGGAAAGCUCCGGCGGUUGUGGAUGGACUCGCGGCCUAUCAGCUUGUUGGUGGGGUAGUGGCCUACCAAGGCGGCGACGGGUAGCCGGCCUGAGAGGGUGACCGGCCACAUUGGGACUGAGAUACGGCCCAGACUCCUACGGGAGGCAGCAGGGGGGAAUAUUGCACAAUGGGCGCAAGCCUGAUGCAGCAACGCCGCGUGCGGGAUGACGGCCUUCGGGUUGUAAACCGCUUUCAGCAGGGACGAAGCUUUUUGUGACGGUACCUGCAGAAGAAGCACCGGCUAACUACGUG